AAUUCUAAAGUGUCACUACACAUUUAAUUUCGAACUAAAAAAAAACAAUAGAACUC
rnacentral:tRNA from 1 species